UACGGGGGGAGCAAGCGUUGUUCGGAUUUACUGGGCGUAAAGGGCGCGUAGGCGGUCAGCCAAGGUCAGUUGUGAAAUCUCCGGGCUUAACUCGGAAAGGUCAACUGAUACUGUGCGACUAGAGUGCAGAAGGGGCAACUGGAAUUCUUGGUGUAGCGGUGAAAUGCGUAGAUAUCAAGAGGAACACCUGCGGCGAAGGCGGCAUCCUGGACCAUGACUGACGCUGAGGAGCGAAAGCCAGGUGAGCAAACGGG
rnacentral:rRNA from 1 species